UUCAUUCCUCCCAUCAAAGUGAAUUCCCACUCUCUCUCUUCAAUUUCCAUAUUCUCUUAACUCUCUCUAAGUUCAACUCUACUUGGAAAGUUUGAGCUGCACUCUCGUGUACUCUACUCGGAAAUAUCAAGUACACACUCUCUCUAAAUUCAACCUAGAAAGUUCACUACAGAUAUGAGUAGUUGAAGCCCUAAUCCAUCACCAUUUCUUCCUUCCUCUCUGUAACACAAGUAUUUCAGAUCCUCUCACCUCUCUUCAUUUUUCACUCUCGAAAGUUCAUUUAAGCUUUCCAUUUUAGAGCAUAAACCCAUCUUUUAGUGAGCUACUUGGACGCUGUACACUCUUGUUGGGUCGGUGCGAAAUGUAGAAUAAUCUCCAUCCUCGAAUCUACUCGGCAAGGUUGAUGAAUCCUCUACAGUGUUCUCCCUUCUCACUGUACCCUCUGGCUAAAUCGGUUAAGAGAAUGGACAACCAUGUUGUGUUAAAGAUCUUAUGAUGGAUCAGCCAAGAAGAUUGCUAUGGAUCCAUAGGGAUUUCAUAUGUUCGAACAAACCUUAGCUUGAUGGCAUUGGAAGUUCUCUUAGGUGCAAGGUAGCUGGCCGUGACAAACAGAGGAGCCAUGAUAUGAUACUUGUAGUUCUGAUGCUGCGUAAUCUUUGAAUUUGCAUUGGAUGUAAUUUCUUCUUCUUUCCAUCGGUUUUUAUAGAUCUUGUGUUGACUGUUCAUUCUAGGGUUUGGGAAUGGGAAUUCAUAAAUGUCCCAGUCGAAAGGUUGUAAGCUUAUAAUUAAUAGUGUAAUAAUUAUCAGAUCGCUACAAUUCGUAAAAGCAGUUACCUUAUGCGCCAA